ACCACCUGAAAGCCCACAUCAAGCUGUUACUCUUUGCUCAUUCUACUUGGUUUUCUUUAUCUAGUUCUCCUUUUCCCCCCACUUCACCCUAGAGUCAUUAAAAACUCAAUUCUCUAAUUUCUUCAGUCAACUGAGAAGUUUUGUCCCUGUGGCCACAAGUACUCCAGGGAUUUCUGAGUACAGCUACUAUAAACAAGAAGAAACAACUCUCAGGAAUUAUUUUGGUCUCCUUCAGCUGCUUAGAGCCACAUACACAAGCACCAGAUCAACACUGGAAAUAGCAAUGAAAGGAAACACUAACGCUGCCCAGGGAAGAAGGAAGCUGAUGAAUACUGGAAAACAGCAACGAAAAAGCUAAUGUUUAUAAUUACUCUGAGCAGUAGCACACGGGGAUAAAAAUGACAACGCAAGGGGAAAUAACUGACUUUGUGAGCGGCUGUGUAAGAGAUCUGAUGAUUGAAACGCCCUCCAUAGAGUGAAGUUUAGGACUAAGUUAAAGUUACCCCGAAACAGACCAGUUGCGAUUCUGGGGAGCAAAUGGUCAGUGAAUGUAGAGUGAAGGAGCAGAGCUGGCAAGUGCAUCGAUUGAGCCAGUGACCUUUUAUAAAAAUCUGAAGAACAAGAGAGUCAUUGCUCAAGGAGGGUGGGGGAAGCCUCCAAGAAACACUGGAAUACAAAUGUCAAGUAGCCAACUCAGAAAGCACAGUCCAAGAGAGACCUAAGCGGGAUGGUGAAGGCAAAGGUACUGAACCUUCUUGCGACUCAGCUGAAGUGUCACAGGACAGCCAACUCAGAAGUUGUAACAAGUUUUAUGUCAGAAAAGUGGUAUAAAAAAUUAAACAGCCGGUCACAGUUAACAUAGACAGUACACAACAUAUACAUCUAUUCCCUGGGAUAGUCUGUUGCCUUCCUCAAGUACUUUUAAAUCAAAUUUACAGGGAUGUGGUCCCAACUCUGUACACUCACCUCAGUUAUAUCUUUUAUCAGCUUUUGGAGGGAACGAUUCUCUUCUUUGGCACUUUUAGUCAA